rnacentral:lncRNA from 1 species
GAGGCAGUGCAAGUCUGUAGGCAGUGGUACCAAUCUUGUCUAAGAUUUCAAAGGGUCCAAUAUAUCUGGGGUUUAAUUUUCUCCUCCUGCCGAACCUACUAAUUCCCUUGAAGGGGGUGACUUUAAGAAACACCCGGUCGCCUUUCUCAAAGGCCAGGUCUCUUCUCCGAGUAUCGGCAUAACUCUUCUGCCUACUCUG